rnacentral:rRNA from 1 species
AUUGAACGCUGGCGGCAGGCCUAACACAUGCAAGUCGAGCGAGCGGCGGACGGGUGAGUAAUGUCUGGGAAACUGCCUGAUGGAGGGGGAUAACUACUGGAAACGGUAGCUAAUCCCGCAUACCAUCAGAUGUGCCCAGAUGGGAUUAGCUAGUAGGUGGGGUAACGGCCCACCUAGGCGACGAUCCCUAGCUGGUCUGCGAGGAUGACCAGUCACACUGGAACGAAGACACGGUCCAGACUGCUAAGGGAGGCAGCAGUGGGGAAUAUGGCACAAGGGGCGCAAGCCUGAGGCAGCCAUGCCGCGUGUGUGAAGAAGGCCUUCGGUUUGUAAAGCACUUUCAGCGUGGAGGCGUUACCCGCAGAAGAAGCACCGGCUAACUCCGUGCCAGCAGCCGCGGGAAUUC